rnacentral:rRNA from 1 species
CCCCUAGAUGUUCUGGGCCGCACGCGCGCUACACUGAACAGUUCAACAAGUCUUAACCUUGGCCGAUAGGUCUGGGUAAUCUUUGAACGCUGUUCGUGACUGGGAUAGACCUUUGCAAUUAUGGGUCUUCAACGAGGAAUUCCUAGUAAACGCAAGUCAUCAGCUUGCAUUGAUUACGUCCCUGUCCUUUGUACACACCGCCCGUCGCACCUACCGAUUGAAUGGUCCGGUGAAAUCUCGGGACGGCGGCUUGGUCGCUUGCGUCCGACUGCUGAAACUUGAUUAAACCAUAUCAUUUAGAGGAAGGUGAAGUCGUAACA